ensembl:lncRNA
UUUUAAUGUCCAACAUUUAUAAUAUGAGGGCUAGUGCUUUCUUGCCAAGUUUAUAAGUUUUCGACUGGCUUGUAAGGUCAAUAGGGAUACUCCUUUUUGUCUAAUUUGGUUUCUGGGAAGACUUCAUUCAGGUCCUCAAUGGUCAUCUGAUCAAAUGGAAUUAUGUUCUUCAUCUUCUCCAGCAUUUUUUCAUAUUCUUCAAUCCUGGCCUUUGAGAGAGACAAAAACUCAGCACAGCGUUUCACAUCUUUUUUUUUCCCUCAGCAUCCACCUGGACAAUGUAUUUAUCCUCUGGCACAGAAACUUUCAACCUUCAAGGCGUUAAACUUCUUAUCAAAGUCAUCUACCAGGCCAGCCUUUGCCACAUUGGCCUUGUAGUAAGCCCAGUCGAUAGCAGGUGGUUUCUCAGGAAGAGUAGCCAACCUGGAGGGACACUGGAGCAAGAUGAUUGGACAAUAAGACUGCAAAUUCUACAUACUGCAAAUGCAAAUGGGAAACAAAUAUGAAUUCCAUAUCUCAACUUCCAUCUGCUAUAAGCCCUCUGACCAAUCUGACCAGCAAUAAAAAACAGCAGACUCCAAACA